UACGGAGGGUGCGAGCGUUGUCCGGAAUCAUUGGGCGUAAAGGGCGCGUAGGUGGCCCGGUCAGUCUUUGGUGAAAGCGCGGGGCUCAACCCUGCGUCGGCCAGGGAUACUGCCGCGGCUCGAGCACUGUAGAGGCAGGCGGAAUUCCGGGUGUAGCGGUGGAAUGCGUAGAGAUCCGGAAGAACACCGGUGGCGAAGGCGGCCUGCUGGGCAGUUUAGCUG
rnacentral:rRNA from 1 species